rnacentral:rRNA from 1 species
CUUUUCACGCCCUAGUGGCGGACGGGUGAGUAACGCGUGGGUAACCUGCCAUAUACAGGGGGAUAACACUUAGAAAUAGGUGCUAAUACCGCAUAAGCGCACAGGGGCGCAUGCCCCGGUGUGAAAAACUCCGGUGGUAUAUGAUGGACCCGCGUCUGAUUAGCCAGUUGGCAGGGUAACGGCCUACCAAAGCGACGAUCAGUAGCCGGCCUGAGAGGGCGGACGGCCACAUUGGGACUGAGACACGGCCCAAACUCCUACGGGAGGCAGCAGUGGGGGAUAUUGCACAAUGGACGAAAGUCUGAUGGAGCAACGCCGCGUGAGUGAAGAAGGGUUUCGGCUCGUAAAGCUCUGUUGGUAGUGAAGAAAGAUAGAGGUAGUAACUGGCCUUUAUUUGACGGUAAUUACUUAGAAAGUCACGGCUAACAACGUGCCAGCAGCCGCGGUAAUACGUAGGUGGCAAGCGUUGUCCGGAUUUAUUGGGCGUAAAGCGAGUGCAGGCGGUUCAAUAAGUCUGAUGUGAAAGCCUUCGGCUCAACCGGAGAAUUGCAUCAGAAACUGUUGAACUUGAGUGCAGAAGAGGAGAGUGGAACUCCAUGUGUAGCGGUGGAAUGCGUAGAUAUAUGGAAGAACACCAGUGGCGAAGGCGGCUCUCUGGUCUGCAACUGACGCUGAGGCUCGAAAGCAUGGGUAGCGAACAGGAUUAGAUACCCUGGUAGUCCAUGCCGUAAACGAUGAGUGCUAAGUGUUGGGAGGUUUCCGCCUCUCAGUGCUGCAGCUAACGCAUUAAGCACUCCGCCUGGGGAGUACGACCGCAAGGUUGAAACUCAAAGGAAUUGACGGGGGCCCGCACAAGCGGUGGAGCAUGUGGUUUAAUUCGAAGCUACGCGAAGAACCUUACCAGGUCUUGACAUCUUGCGCUAACCUUAGAGAUAAGGCGUUCCCUUCGGGGACGCAAUGACAGGUGGUGCAUGGUCGUCGUCAGCUCGUGUCGUGAGAUGUUGGGUUAAGUCCCGCAACGAGCGCAACCCUUGUUACUAGUUGCCAGCAUUAAGUUGGGCACUCUAGUGAGACUGCCGGUGACAAACCGGAGGAAGGUGGGGACGACGUCAGAUCAUCAUGCCCCUUAUGACCUGGGCUACACACGUGCUACAAUGGACGGUACAACGAGUCGCAAGCUCGCGAGAGUAAGCUAAUCUCUUAAAGCCGUUCUCAGUUCGGACUGUAGGCUGCAACUCGCCUACACGAAGUCGGAAUCGCUAGUAAUCGCGGAUCAGCAUGCCGCGGUGAAUACGUUCCCGGGCCUUGUACACACCGCCCGUCA